GUAGGGUCCAAGCGUUAAUCGGAAUUACUGGGCGUAAAGCGUGCGCAGGCGGUCGUGCAAGACCGAUGUGAAAUCCCCGGGCUUAACCUGGGAAUUGCAUUGGUGACUGCACGGCUAGAGUGUGUCAGAGGGGGGUAGAAUUCCACGUGUAGCAGUGAAAUGCGUAGAGAUGUGGAGGAAUACCGAUGGCGAAGGCAGCCCCCUGGGAUAACACUGACGCUCAUGCACGAAAGCGUGGGGGGAGCAAACAGGAUUAGAUACCCUGGUAGUCCACGCCCUAAACGAUGUCAACUAGUUGUUGGGGAUUCAUUUCCUUAGUAACGUAGCUAACGCGUGAAGUUGACCGCCUGGGGAGUACGGUCGCAAGAUUA
rnacentral:rRNA from 1 species